rnacentral:lncRNA from 1 species
AAUGACGUUAUGAGAAACGACAAUGUAAUGUCGCAAGAGAUAAAAUGUAGAGGUGCGCAAGCGAGUAAAAGAAGAGGAGAAGUAGAGAAAAAGGAGAAGAGGUGAAGACGCGAUCAGAAACUGAAUGUCGAGAAGAGUCUGCGGUCUAUUUAAAAUGAAAUGGGGCGUCGGUUUUUCCAGAAACCGACGUCUAGGAAGCUGAAAAGAUUGACGUUUUGGUUUCCUGUCAGGGUAGUUCACGUCGGUGCCCUUCACAGUCGAC